rnacentral:rRNA from 1 species
GCGGCGGACGGGUGAGUAAUGCUUAGGAAUCUGCCAUUUAGUGGGGGACAACAUUCCGAAAGGGAUGCUAAUACCGCAUACGCCCUACGGGGGAAAGCAGGGGAUCUUCGGACCUUGCGCUAAAUGAUGAGCCUAAGUCGGAUUAGCUAGUUGGUGGGGUAAAGGCCUACCAAGGCGACGAUCUGUAGCGGGUCUGAGAGGAUGAUCCGCCACACUGGGACUGAGACACGGCCCAGACUCCUACGGGAGGCAGCAGUGGGGAAUAUUGGACAAUGGGCGGAAGCCUGAUCCAGCCAUGCCGCGUGUGUGAAGAAGGCCUUUUGGUUGUAAAGCACUUUAAGCGAGGAGGAGGCUACCUGGAUUAAUACUCUAGGAUAGUGGACGUUACUCGCAGAAUAAGCACCGGCUAACUCUGUGCCAGCAGCCGCGGUAAUACAGAGGGUGCGAGCGUUAAUCGGAUUUACUGGGCGUAAAGCGUGCGUAGGCGGCUGAUUAAGUCGGAUGUGAAAUCCCUGAGCUUAACUUAGGAAUUGCAUUCGAUACUGGUCAGCUAGAGUAUGGGAGAGGAUGGUAGAAUUCCAGGUGUAGCGGUGAAAUGCGUAGAGAUCUGGAGGAAUACCGAUGGCGAAGGCAGCCAUCUGCCUAAUACUGAC